UACGAGAGGCCCAAACGUUAUUCGGAAUUACUGGGCUUAAAGAGUUCGUAGGCGGCGCAGAAAGUAGGGUGUGAAAGCCCUCGGCUUAACCGAGGAAUUGCGCUCUAAACUACUGUGCUUGAGGAAUCUAGAGGUGAGCGGAACUGAUGGUGGAGCGGUGAAAUGCGUUGAUAUCAUCAGGAAUACCGGAGGCGAAGGCGGCUCACUGGGGGUUUUCUGACGCUGAGGAACGAAAGCCAGGGGAGCGAACGGG
rnacentral:rRNA from 1 species